GUGUGGAUGGUGUUCAGCACCAAGGGCAGGUGUGCUUGUCUGUGGAUGGUAUUUAGCACCAGGGGCAGGUGUUUUUGUGU
rnacentral:pre_miRNA from 1 species